GGGCCUGGUUAGUACUUGGAUGGGAGACCGCCUGGGAAUACCAGGUGCUGUAAGCUUUUAAGCGCAGGAGGCGCCCUAUCCCCGCUCGCUCGCUCAUUCCCCUGUUCACACGUGCAGUGCGGCUUGUCCGUCUGUUUAUUUGUCAGCUUUGGCGAGACACGGGUGCUUGUGUAUUAGCGUGAGCGUUUUUUAUUCUGAUCAUGAACAGUUUUACAAGUCCGCAAAGGAUCGAGGAAAGGUUUAUCGCCAGCUGAAAAGAGACACAGCGCUUCGGCUGUGGAGACUUGUUCGGCUGGCGUUCGGGGAGUCGCGUUUUUCAGAAUUGUAUUGAGAUCGUUUUCCACAGAGCUCAGAUGUCAAAGCACAGCAGCAGCUCUCCACAGCGAUCCUCUAUAGCGCCCUUUCUCCCGCAGCUCCGUCCUCAUUGGAAGGAAGCAAGAAAAAAGCAGCGUCGUAAAAGAGGUGACGGAGCUGUCCUCUCUAUAAGAAGGGUGCCAGCGAGCCUUGCUCUCGCUUACGGCCAUACCAGCCUGAGUAAAAGAGGUGACGGAGCUGUCCUCUCUAUAAGAAGGGUGCCAGCGAGCCCUUGCUCUCGCUUACGGCCAUACCAGCCCUGA
rnacentral:rRNA from 1 species